ensembl:lincRNA
UUGCAGCUCCCAUGCCGCACUCAAGAAAGGCUUGCUUCUGCUGCUUGCACUUUCUUUUUUAGACACCUCUCAUAAGUUAACAUUUAGUUGUGUUUUAUAUUCUGAUUCUUUGACUAUAGAGGUGUUUUUCUUCGUUACUUUGGCUUAGAGGAAAUAGUCGGGAUUUGAAUGAGUGUAAAUUAAUAAAAUUGUCAUGUGCUUUGAAAUUUGGUUGCUGUAUUGAUAGGGAAUAAAGAUACUCAAAUUCCUGAGACUGGUACUGACACCAUGUAGCACCAGGCGUUGUUAAUAUGUAUGUUUGUGUUUCCUUUCAGCCCGCCUAUCAGAACCUGAGACAGCGCGUUGACAACUUUGUUGCAAACCACUUGGCCGCUCAUACUUGGAGCCCUCAUCUUAACAAGAACCAACUAAGAAACAAUAUUAGACAGCAAGUCCUCAAAUCGGGAAUGCUGGAAUCUGGUAUCGACCGAAUUAUUUCUCAGGUUGUGGAUCCAAAGAUCAACCACACAUUCAGACCUCAGGUGGAGAAAGCUGUGCAUGAGUUUUUGGCCACACUCAAUCACAAAGAGGAAGCAGGUAGCAGCACAGCUCCUGCCGACGAGAAACCAGACUCUUCCACCAUUACACAAGGUGUCCCUGCUCCUGGGCCCAGUGCUAACGUAGCCAGUGAUGCCAUGUCAAUCUUAGAAACCAUAACUUCUCUUAACCAGGAAGCUAGUGCUGCCCGGGCCUCAACAGAAAUGUCGAAUCCCAAGACUGGUGAGAGAGUGUCCAAAAAACUCUCUUCUCAACUGAGCACUGACAUUAGUACUGAUAAAGAAAAAGCUUUAGAGGACACAGCUGACAAAGAAAAAACUUCACCUGACUGUGGAGGAGAAGGCCUGGAAACAGCCCCGAAGUCCGAAGAACUUGGUGAUCUUCAAGGUCCAGCUGAAGAAAUAAAAAAUCACGUGAAAGAGAAUAAUAGCUUGAUUCUGCUAAAUAAGGAUGUUCAGCAGGAAAGCAGUGACCAGAAAAAUAAAUCAGCAGAUAAAGGUGAAAAGAAACCAGACAGCAAUGAUAAAGGAGAAAGAAAAAAAGAAAAGAAGGAAAAAACUGAUAAGAAAUUGGAUUACUCAAAAAGGAGUGAAGAUACUCUAAAAGUAAAAGAUGAAAAACAAGCAAAGGAAAAAGAAGUGGAAGGUGCUAAACUUCCUUCAGAAAAGAACAGUAAUAGAGCUAAGACUGUCGAAGGGACCAAAGAAGAUUGUUCUUUGAUAGAUUCUGAUGUGGAUGGUCUUACAGACAUCACAGUUAGCUCUGUUCAUACCAGUGACCUUUCGUCUUUUGAAGAAGACACUGAGGAGGAAGUUGUCAUGUCUGAUAGCAUGGAAGAAGGAGAGAUUACAUCAGAUGAUGAAGAGAAGAGCAAACAGAAUAAAACAAAAGCUCAAACUAGUGAUUCCAGCGAGGGAAAAGCGAAAAGUGUACGGCAUGCUUAUGUUCACAAACCGUAUCUUUACUCGAAGUACUACAGUGACUCUGAUGACGAGCUCACUGUAGAACAACGGCGACAGUCCAUUGCAAAAGAAAAAGAGGAAAGACUUUUAAGAAGGCAAAUUAAUAGAGAGAAACUUGAAGAAAAACGAAAACAGAAAGCAGAAAAGACCAAGUCUUCCAAAGGGAAAAGUCAAGGCAAAAAUAAUGUGGAUGUAGAAGAAUCAGCAACAAAGAGUUUGGAACCAAAGGCCCCUAGAAUUAAAGAAGUUCUUAAAGAACGGAAAGUUUUAGAAAAAAAAGUAGCCUUAAGCAAAAAAAGAAGGAAAGAUUCAAGGAACACUGAAGAGAAUGCCAAAAAGAAACAGCAGUCUGAAGAAGAUUCUAAAGAAACCCUCAAAACAAGUGAGCACUGUGAAAAGGAAAAGGCAUGUUCUUCAAAGGAACUGAAGCAUGCUCAUGCAAAGAGCGAACCAAGUAAGCCUGCCCGGAGACUUUCAGAGUCCUUACAUUCUGCUGAGGAAAACAAAAAUGAAUCCAAAGCAGAGAGAGAGCAUAAAAGGCGGACAUCCACCCCUGUUGUCAUGGAAGUGGCGCAGGAAGAAACUGACACAAGAGAUGGAAAAAGGCAAAUGGAACGCUCAGAAAUAGGCACAGAAGAACCCCAGAAACAGAAAAACACACUAAAAAAUGAAAAGCAUCUAAAGAAAGAGGAUUCUGAAGUGUCACAUUUGAAAAGCCUCCCUAAGAAAGAGGCAAAAUCCUCCAAGGAGAAGCCUGAAAAAGAAAAAACUCUGUCAGAAGAAAAACUGUCUACGAAACAUAAAUAUAAGGGUGACAGCACACACAAAACAGGUGAUGAGACUGAAGCACACUCUGCUGAAAAAGGUUUAAAAGUAGAGGAAAAUACCCAGAAGCAAAGUCAACAAACAAAGCCUUCCUCAGAUGAGAAAGCUGAACGAAAAAGUAAACACAGGAAUGAAAGGAAGUUGUCAGUUUUAGGCAAAGAUGGAAAGCCAGUUUCUGAAUAUAUCAUAAAAACAGAUGAGAAUGUGCGUAAGGAGAACAACAAAAAAGAGAGACAUUUGUCAACUGAAAAAACUAAAGCAGAGCACAAGUCAAGAAGAUCAAGUGACACCAAGGUUCAGAAAGAUGCCCUGAGUUGCAAGCAGCAUGCUGCCACGUUACAGCGAAGAAGUGAAAGUUAUUCAGAAGAUAAAUGUGAUACAGACUCAAGUAAUUUAGACAGCAAUUUAAAGCCAGAAGAGCUUGUUCACAAGGAGAGGAGAAGAACGAAGAGCUUGUUGGAAGAUAAACUUACGUUGAAGUCUAAAUCAAAAGGUCAAGGCAAACAAUUAAAAGUUGCUGAAACAGAGUUACAAGAAAGUGUCACAAAACAGGGGGCCGCUCCAAAACCAGAGAAGGAAAAGACCGUAGAGGAAAACGACCCAGAAAAACAGCGCAAGGCUAAAGUUGAAGACAAACCUGUAGAAGAAACUGGUGUUGAACCUGCAUCAGAGAGUGCUGCUUCUUCACAUAGUGUGCCGAAAGAUUCCAGUCACAAAGCUAAAUUAUUGGUAAAGGAGAAGUAUAAAGGCGAGAAGGAUUCAAGCUCCUCCAGACUUGAGAGGAAGUUAUCAGAUGGGCACAAAAGCAGAAGCGUAAAGCAUAGUAGUAAAGACGUGAAAAAGAAGGAAGAAAAUAAAGCAGAGGACAAAGAUGGUAAAGAAACUGACAGUAACCAUGAAAAGUUGAGAGGGAAUGGUUCAGUUAUAGAAAAGAAGUUAAGUAGAAGGUUGUGUGAAAAUCGAAGAGGAAGCCUGUCACAGGAAAUGGCCAAAGGAGAAGAAAAAUUAACAAAUACUCCGGGUACUCCCAAUAGUUCCUCCCUUCAGAGAUCAAAAAGAAGUGGUGAUACAUCAAUCCCUGAACAGGAGCCAAUGGAAACUGAUUCUGAAGCAGGUGUUGCAAAUGUAUUUGAAGUAUCUAAAACCCAAGACAACAGCAAUAAUAGUUCUCAGCAAGACAUUGACUCUGAAAAUGUCACAAAACAAAAAACUGCUACCCUAGUUCUAAAGGAUGAAUUAAAAACUUCCACCACAGAUGCAAAACCAGCUGCAGCCUGUAAAUCGGGCCGUGGGACAGGAGUGUGUAGCAAUUCAGAAAAGCAUACUGACCAUAAAAGCACCUUGGCCAAGAAAGUACAUAUCCAAAGUGCAGUAUCCAAACCAAAUCCCAGGGAGAAAGAGCUCAUUCAACAGGGAGCGCAUGAAAUGAAUGUAGACUCGGAAAUAAGUCAUAGACUGUUGCCUAAUAUCCCUUCGGAAAGUGAUAGGCUGCAGAAGGACUUGAAAAGCACAGCCAGACCCACUGAGGAGCGUGUUGCUCAAGGAGAUGCUACUCUUGAACAUUCCACAGAUACAAACGCCUCAUUGACCUUAAGUUCAGUGAACGCUGUGCCUCAGAAUGAACCUCAUGCUUCAGAUGUAAUUCCUGUAACUGACAGAACUGUUUCAGAAGGGGGCGUAGGCAGCACCUCCUUUGUGGCUCCCUCUGAUCCCCCUAACCAAAGCUUAACUGUUAAGAAAUCAGAGGUCCCUGGGACAAGUGCUAGCGAAGAAGGUAGUGAAGGUUCCUCAGCGGAAGCAGGCGUGGCUGGCAGAAGUCACGUUCCAGAAGGCCACCAGGCCACACCACUGGACGGUGACGAUGGAAAAGUGAAUACACCUCUUGCUAGCAAGUCCACAGACAUGACUGAGAAAAACAGCCUUAGCAAAGACGGCUUGCUGGAUACAACAAAGAAGGAAAAUGACUUAAGUGGAGAGCCCGCUGUGAAGCAGACAGUUAGAGCUACAGACAGAAAUGAGGAAACUGUCGAUCUUAAGCAUAGUUGUAGCCCAGGGGAAAUAAACAUAGCAGCUGGUGCAGAAAGAAGGAACCAGAGCACUGAAGUAGACACCAGUGGUGAUGGUGAUGCUGCACCCUCCAUUUUGCAACGAAGGAGUGGAGUAGCUGGGUUUGAUAGAGCAGAAAAGGCUUCCGUUCCCACUAGCACUGAAGGGAAGGACCAAGGCAUCGCUUUAAACCCAGGAAAGGGUGGAGAUGCCACCACUACCUCUUCAGAAACAGCAGAGAGUGGAAUGGCUCUGCCAUGCACCAGCAUCGAGGCAGACGAAGGCGUCACGCCGGGUGCGUGCACCAUAAGCAAUCCCCUCCAGGCUGGGGCAGAAGCCAGUGAGUGCACCGUUUUUGCUGCAGCUGAAGAGGGUGGGGGUAUUGUCACUGAAGGGUUUGCUGACAGUGAAACUCUCCUCACAAGCACCAAGGAAGGUGAAAGUGCAGAGUGUACCGCGGCUGAAUCGGAAGAUGGAGCCGCAGGCGCCACAGCUACUCACAUAGGUGCAGUGGAAGCCAGUGUGAACAGCGUUGUGUCUGAAGAAAAAGAUGACGCAGUGACCAGCGCGGGCUCUGAGGGCAAAUGUGAUGGUUCUUCAAGCAGGGACUCAGAAAUAGCUGAAGGGACUGGUACUUCUGUUAGUGAGGUUGAAAGCGACGGAGCAGUUACAAGUGCUGGGACAGAAAUAAGGACAGGGUCCAUGAGCGGUGAAGAGGUUGAUAGAACCCAGGGAGACAGGACAAGAAUGGGCCCCAAAAAAGAGACAGAAGGCACCGUGACAUGUACGGGAGCAGAAGGCAGAAGUGAUAACUUUGCUAUCUGCUCUGUAACAGGAGCAGGGCCUGGGGAGGAGCGCAUAGCCCCAGGGGCCGAGGUGGUCCUGAUAGGUGAUGACGCACCCCCUGGUACAAGUGCCGACCAGGAGGGCAGUGGUUCCGUGAUCGAUGGUGCGGAAGGCGAGAGCGCAGUCACUAGCACAGGCAUAAUGGAGGAGGACGGGGAGGGGCCGGCGAGCUGCACAGGCUCGGAAGACAGCAGUGAGGGCUGCCUGAUAAGUUCUGAAACAGAAGGGAGUGGAGAGAGUGCGAUGGCCAGCACGGUGGCCAAAGAAGUCACUAAUACCCCCGUGGUCGCUGCUGGCCCCUGCGAUGAUGAAGGCAUUGUGACGAGCACAGGCGCAAAGGAGGAGGAUGAUGAGGGGGAAGGCGUCGUAACUAGUACUGGGAGAGGAAAUGAAAUUGGACAGGCUUCAACUUGCUCAGGUAUGAUAGGCGAAGAAAGUGAAGGGGUGGUGAUUUGUGAAAGCGCAGAAGGGGACGGUCAGGCUGGUCUCACAGCAGACCACGUGGACACUGAGGCUGGGGCUGCCCUCCUGAAUGCAAAUGAAAGUAACAUUGAUAGUGUGAGUGCUGCAGAGAAAGAAAUCAAAGAGACGGAGAUCUGCUCCAGCGCCAAAGGGAUCGUAGAAAGUAGUGUGACCAGCGCAAUUGCAGGAAAGAGCGAAGUGGCACCAGUUGCAGGGGGUUGUGAGGGUCCCAUGACAAGCGCAGCUUCUGAUCAAAGUGGCAGUCAACUCACUAGGAAGGAAAAGGCUGAAGAUGCCACCAUUUCCACUGGCCUGGUGGAGGGCAGUUACGAUGUUCCUGUAUCUGGUGCCGCCCUGGAAUGUGAUGUUGAUCAUACAUCACCCAGUGAAAAAGAAGAUGAAGGCAUCAUCACCUCUGUAGAACAUGAAGAGUGUGAUGACCUCAUGGCUACGACAGUCAGUAAUGGUAUUUCCAACCAAGACAGCCUACCUGACGGGAAAAGUCAAGGCAAAGGUGUGAUGAUUUCCACCAGUACAUCGAAUGAUCACGCCCCGCAGGGGAGCACGGUUAUAGAGGGAGGAGAAGGCCAUUCAAGUACCCUGAGAAAGGAAGAAAACAUGGAAGGCACCAGGGUAAGCAUGGAGGAAUUUGAGGUCCCCACACCCAGUGCAGUUUCAGGUGAUGCAAGCCAACUUCCUGCUAGCAGAUGCGAGGAAAAAGACGAGUGUGCCAUGAUUUCCACAAGCAUAGGGGAAGAGUGCGAAGUGCCUAUUUCCAGUGCAGUGACCAUCACAUGUGCUGAAAGUCAGCAGCCAGUUGCAGUGGUUGAGGAAAGAGCUAAAGGCCCCGUCUUGGUAAGCACUGAGGACUUCGAGGUGCCUAUGCCUAGUGCUCCUGCAGAAGUUGAAAGUCCUCUUGCCUCAACCAGCAAGGAGGAGAAGGAUGAAUGUGCUCUCAUUUCCACCAGCAUAGCGGAAGACUGCGAGGCCUCCGUUUCUGGGGUAAGUGAAAACACACAGUCUGUUACAGACGGAAGUGCUGUUAUCUCAACAAGCUCGGUGGAAGACUGUGAGGGCUCUGUGUCCAGUGCUGUCCCUCAGGAGGUCGUCUGCCCUUUGGGCACAGCAGCAGAAGAGACAAAUGACACUGCCAUGAUUUCCACGAGCACUUCUGAAGGGCGUGAAGCAGUCAUGGUUGGUGCUGUCCCCCUGGAUGAAGGCCAAGCCAGCACCGCAAGGAUGGAAGACUCCAGCGAUGCUGCAAUCAUCUCCACUAGUACAGCGGAGUGUGUGCUGAUGGGAGCCAGCCUGGACCGGCGCAGAGAGACUCAGCCUGCUGCAGACAACCCCGAAGGAGGCAAUGAGCUGUCGGUGGCAAGAGGGAGCAAGUGUGAGAUCCCCAUGCCCAGCCUAAUUGCUGACAAUAACAGUCAGUGCCCUGGGCUGAUGGCAGGAGACCAGAAAGGGGGCGCCGUGCUGGCAGUGAGCACUGAGGAAGGGCGUGACCGGCUGCCGGUCUGUGAACCUUCAGCGGGCCAGCCAAGUGCCGAGUGUGCUGAUGACGGGGAGAAGCACGGCAAGGGCUGCCCUGGGCAGCACCCUUUCUCAGCGGAAAGACAAAACCAGAGCUCCGUGCAUCUCCCAGAUGCAGAAAACAAAAGUGUGUCUUUGAGUACCGUUCAGACUGAGGACAAACGUCCAGAGGCCGAGAUGGCAGAGGGUAGUGGUAUGGCCCAUUGUCCAGCAGGAAGGGGCACAGAGAGGAGUGCUGCCUCAUCCGCCCAACUGCACAGACCAGAGCAGACGUGUGGGCAGCCAGAUGAGGGCCUUUCUGUGAGCACUCACUCUUUGGCAGCAGUGAAUACCGGUGCUAAAAAAGCUGAUGACAUGCCACCCGUCAGAGACACUGCUGCAGAGUACUCCUCUCCUGCCUCUGACCAGCAAGGUCCUGAGGACAACUUGAAAACCACUGCCACCAAAGUUGUUACAGGCCAAGAGUCAGAACUUGCUCCUGCCCGCUCGGCGGUCCUUCCAGCUGCCUACCAGGUCACUCAGUCGGCUGUGGGAAUCGAGGGAGACGUGACUACAGAGAGUGACCACGCUAGCCAACAGACUGGUGAUGCCGCAUGUGCCGAGGAAACGGAGCAGGGGCGCAGCACGAGGACAUCACUGCCCAGGGAAAGCGGCCUUGAGGACACUGUGCGUGCUGAACAGAAUUGUUGUGACACAGGCAAUGCGAAGUCUCCAGAGGUUUCAGAAGAUUCAGAACUGACAGCCAACUUGAAAACCAAGACAUUCGUGCCUUCAGAGGAAGAAAAAAAUCAUGAAAUGCUCGCAGUACGAGAAAGUGAGUGUGAGGGAAAGCCAAGUGGAAUGGCUGAACUACAGAGAAAACCUCCAUUGCUGAAUGAAUCCCUAAAUGUUGAGAACUCUGGCUCACAAACAGAUGAAGAAAUUCCUAAUAAAUCUUGCAACAAAGGAGAGAUAUCCAGUGAUAGAAAUGGCAACUCGGAAACUAUAAGAAGUCACAGUAUUGAAGCAAGCCCUAAAGAGGUUGAAGAAGAACAGAGGCAUAUCCCUAAAAGAAUGGCAAAGAAGCACUCCCCUUCCUCAGAAGAUGAACUGGAUGAUAAUCCAGAUGUCCUGGAUUCCAGAAUAGAAACAGCGCAGAGACAGUGCUCUGAAACUGAGCCUGAAGACACAAAGGAAGAGAACCCCGGAGAUUUGGAAGAAUUGUCUAAAACAAAUUCUGAGACGAGCAGCACUGCUUCAAGGGCUGUGGAGGAAAGGGAUGAGUUGAGCAGCAGUGAGGCUGCUGGUGAAAAGACGGAGCAGAAUGAAGAUGAUGGCAUCAAGUCACAAGAGGAAGAUCAACCAAUAAUUAUUAAAAGGAAAAGAGGAAGACCUCGUAAAUACCCUGUGGAAAUAACGUUAAAAACAAAGGACGAUUCCAAAACAGACACUGGCAUUAUCUCUGUAGAGCAGUCUCCACCUAGUAGCAGCAAAUUGAAAGUAACACAGGCAGAUGAGUCCAGUAAAGAAACAGCUAACCUAGAAAGAAGUACAAGCACUGAUGACAGUGAAGAAAAAACAAUAGCAAGUGCUCGUCGGAGAGGAAGAAAGCCCAAACGUUCGCUCACUCUGUCGGAUGAUGCUGAAUCCUCAGAGCAGGAAAGAAAACGCCAGAAAUUGGUUUCUGAAUCAACUGAGGACAAGAAAGAUCAGGAGUCUGACGAGGAAGAGGAAGAAGAGGAAGAGGAUGAGCCCUUGGGAGCCACUACACGGUCCAGCACCAGAUCAGAGGCACAGAGAUCAAAGACUCAGCUCUCCCCUUCUACCAAGCGCAAGAGAGAAGUCAGCCCUCCCGGGGCCCGGACUCGAGGCCAGCAGAGAGUAGAAGAAGGCCCCGUGAAGAAGACGAAGCGGUAAUCCCAACCGGCGCCUUCCAUGGCCCGCUGAGGGACACUGGAGAGGAAGGGAUGAGCCUCGGGGCCACAGGCUUUUUUUUUAACCGAGAAACGGAUAUGCAUGUGCUGUAAGUUCCUAGGUGCAAGCUUUUUCUUGUUAUGUUUUAAACAGCUUUAUAAACUCUUGUUCAUAGAAGAUAUUAUGUACAUUUAUUUCAGAUAAAGGAAAAUAAGUUUACUUGUAUCUGAACUCAAAACAAAGUAGUUGUAUAUUUUAACAUUCAAAAUUGGGAUUUCCCAAUGUGACACGUCACUAAAGCAAACCCUUCCAGCCCAUUAGACACCAGGCUGCCGACUGGUGAUCUGUGUAUAGUAUAUAAACAUGUAAAAAUAGGUUGUAUUUUACUCUAUGUAUGAUGCUAAUCAAUGAACACUUUAUUUAUUUUACAGAGAAAACUUAUCUGUGAACUUUACUAUAUAUCUGUUUAUUUUAUUUUAUUAUUUUUUUUAAUAAAAAGGGUUUUAAAUGCUAUGCAGUCAUUAGUAGAAACUUUUGUAGGACUCUGCCUGCCCUGUAACUGUCCGACUGUGACCCAGCAGGAACACAGAAACUCUCGCAUGUAUCCGAGUAGAGUAGUUUAGCUAAAGGAAGGGUCUCCACUGCUUUUCUGUUCACAGUCAGGACUGCUUUUUAAGAAUGUAACUUGUUUUUAGAUUAUACUUGCAUCUGUGGCUUUGCCACCGGCCCCUGUGACGUUAGAGGUUCUGGUUCAGGUAGAGUCCCCCAUCUCCUGCAGCAGCGCCCUCUGUGGGCGUUCGCCCCUCCCCCACCCCGUGCUUCCGGAAGCUUCCGGAGAUCCCUCCUGUCUCAUCUCUCCACAAAGGGAAGCGCGUUGCCGAGUAGGUCACUCCUACCUGCUCAGCUCCAGGGUUUCAUGUUGUUUUUAUACAGUUAUUUCAGGAUAGAAGCUGGUUUUACUGCCAGGUUCUUUUUUAAACAUGUUUUAACUUCCAUGUGAGCAAACUGUCCAACCUAAGUUUUUCAUAAAAUUAAACUUUUCUUAAAGUCAGAUCUGUCUUUUGCAAUGAGGUGAUGAGUUGCCAAAUAAUUGAGAUUAUUUUAAAAUGUUUUGUUCACGUUCUUGUUUUAUAAUUAAAAUAUACAUUCAGUGUAUGUGGUUUUUUUGUUAUUUCUUUUUUUUUUUGUCUCAAUGUAAGGUGGAUAUUUCUGUCAUUUUACAUGGUUUCUUACUGAGAUUUUAUAUAUAAAUUAUAAAAUGUUUCCCUAAAACUUGAGUGGUA